rnacentral:lncRNA from 1 species
AAAAUAAAAUGAAAGUAUAAAAGAAAUUUGAGAGAAAAUGACAAAUAUUGAAGAUAUAAAAAGAUUCAACAUACAGAAAUGGCAGUUCAUAAAAAAAAGGAAAUCUAGGUAGUAGAACAAAUAUUUAAAACCUGCUGAAAGUAUUAUUAUAAAAUGCAUUAAAAGAUCACACUGUUACCUGAUAAUAUCAACCCAGAACAACAAAGACCAAGACAUAUUCUAAUAAAAUGACUAGACUCAAAAGAAGAGAGUCCAGAGGAAGAAGAUGGAGAUAGGGCCAUGACUAAAGGAAUGUAAGAAAUGCAGCUCUAAUCUCUAGAAACAAAAAAGAUCUCACCUAGAACCUUUGGAAUGAGUAUGGCCCUGCUAAAACAUCUAUUUUAGCCCCAAAAGAUUCAUUUCAGACUUACAAAUAUAAAUUAAAGAAACAAGCAUUCGUUUCAUCUUUCCUAAAUGAACCAUACUACUUGGUGAGUAGUAAACAAGGGAGAAUCUUGUUAUUAACUUAUUCCAGCUAAUAAAUAAAAACAUUAGGAUAUCACUAUUUUAUAAAUAUCAAUGAAUUAAUGAAUUUAGACAUUGAAUACACAUGACUACUAACAUCAAAACUGAACAAAAACACACGAGGAAAUAGAAAAAAAAAUAGAACAUGUGGAAUUAUACCAUGAGUAUGUUAUCAAAAAAAUCCAGACUGUGAGAAACCAGAAAGGAGAAACAUCUUACUCCCUUAACAGAUAAAUAAUAAAAGAAAGGACAUCAAGAACACCUGUAUAUAAAAGGAGACUUUUAAAAGACAAUCCUAGUUAAAAAUGGGUUAAACUAAGCUGUAGUGUCUAAGGAUGUCCACUUGGAUGAUUAAAAGUAAUAACAACAAGGACAUGGGUAUCAUAAAAGUUGGGAUAGGGGAUAUAGGUGGGAGGAGACUGUCAGUGGGAAAGGACACACAGAAAAGUUUCUAGGAUGGUUAACCUUUUUUUUUUCCUUUGGCAAGGUGGUGGUUAUAAGGGUAUUGUAUUAGACCAUUCAGGCAGCUGUAACAAAAUACCACAAACUGGGUAGCUUAUAAACAAUAAAAACUUAUUUUUUACAGUUUUGGAGGCUGGAAGUCCAAAAUUGUAACAUUGGCAUGCUUGAGUGAGGGCUUUCUUCCCAAACACAGACUAUAUCGUCAGUAGGCAGAAGGGGACAGGGAGCCCUUUGGAACCUCUUCUAAGAGCACUAAUUCAAAGUUCCACCUAUGAAUACCAUCACCUUUGAGGGUUAGGAUUUCAACAUAUGAAUUAUAGAAGAGGGGGACACAAACAUUUAGAAUAUAGCAGGUAUUUAACCUUAUAGUAAUUCACUAAGCUACAUUUUCUUUUGUGUGUUUUUAUGUAAUUUUAUUUUAUAAUAAAAAGACAAAAAUAAAUAAGCAAGUAAGAAGUACUGCACUAAUGCUCCCACCAUAAACAACUAAAAAUUUGGACAAAAUGUAGGAAAGAACUGUUUUGAGACUUUGGAAAACAGUACAAUAAUGUGAUCCUAAAGAGAAGAGAAACAAAUAAAAUGAGUUAUUCCAUCAUUCUACAUUCCUAAUUAAAGGCAGUUUACAAACUGGAAAGCAAGAAGGGAGAACCUGAACAGGCCUAGGAAAUAUUUGAGCCAGAAUGGAGGACAUUAUUGAGCAAUCAAGGCAUUCAGUCGAGAUCCGCAAAUGGUCUUACUUUAGUAACAGGGUUAAAUUAUGGCCAUAUUAAGAAUUCUGUCAUCACAUGAACAAGCUUUUUAAAAAACCUUGCAUAGAUGAAAUACCCAAGCCACAGGGAAAAUCAGCAUUCCUUAAAAAAAGAUUAAAAAUUCAGAAUCAGCAACAUAAAAAUCAUAUUCAGCAUUGGAUCCAAAUUUACUACACAUGCAGGGAAAAGUGUCUAAUAACUAGAAGUGCAAUUAGUUAAUAGAAAUAAACCCAUAAAUAAAAUAGAUGAUGAAAUUAGCAGACACAUUCUUUAAAAUAGUAAUUAUAAAGAUUUUUAAAGAUUUAGAGAAAAACAUGAAAAUGAGAGGAAUGGAAUUUAUGAAGAAAAUCAAAUGAAACAUUUAGAUCUAAAAAAUAUAUCCAAAUAGAGAAAAACAAAACCCAAAAACUAAAUGAGCUAAAUAGUUGACUGUACACUAAAAUAAAAGAUAUAUGAACUAAAGAUAUAGCAAACAACAAACUGUUCAAACUAGAGGACAAAGAGCAAAAGGGCUGAAAAUAAAUGAACACAUUAACUCCUGUGACUGUGGGACAAUAUCAAGUGAUCUAAAAUAAAUAUAGUGUCCCCGAAGGAGGGGGAGCAGAAAAUUUUUGGAUGAAACAACAGUCAAAUAUUUUUCAAAUUUGAAGAAAAUUAUUUAUGCACAACAGACUAAGAUCUAGUGAGUCCCUAGCAGAGUAAACACCAAGAAAAUCAUACCAACAGACUUAAAUUAUUGAAAAUUAAUGACAAAAAAGUUUAAAAGAGCCAUAGACAAAAAAAGACAUCUUACUUGUAUUUAAUAGAAUAAGAAUUAUUAUUGACUUUUCAUUAGAAAUAAUAUAAGCUGGAGGGCAAUGGGAAAACCUCUUCAAAGUACUGAAAGUAAGACUCAAAGAUCUAUAAUCAGAUUCUAUAUCUAGUUAAAAAAUCCUUCAAAAAAUGAAGGCAAAGACAUUUUCAGACAAAGCUAAGAAAAUAUAUCACACUCCAGCACUAUAAGAAAUGAUGAAGUUAUUUUAGGCUUAAUAAAAGUAAUGCCAAAUGGAAAUUUGGACCUCCACAAAUGUUCUAACAAUCCAAUUAGAGGCAGAGAUUUUCUGGCUAGAUAAAAAAGAGAAGAAAACUUUAUGGUGGGCACAAUAAUCACUUUGAAUAUAAAGACAAUGGUAGGUUUAGCUGUAAAGCUAAUAUGGCUAUAUUAAUAUCAGAAAAAUAAACUUCGGAUGAAAUGAUCUUACCAAAGUAAAGAAGGUCAUCUCAUAAUAAUUAAAGGAUCAAUUCAUCAAAAGAGUAUAAAAGUCCUGAACAUGUAUUCACCUAACAACAGAGUUUCCAAAUGCAUGAAACCAAAACUAAGACAAUUGAGAGGAAAAUCACAUUAAUCUAUAAUUAUAGUUGAAGAUUUCAACACAGUUCCAAAACUGAUAAAAGAAAUUGACAGAAAAUCACUAAGUUUAUAGAAGAUAUGAAUAUCAUCCUGCUUAGCCUAAUUGAAAUAUAGAUAACUACAUCCAACAAAAAUUACAUGUUCCCUUUGAGCACACAGGAAAUAUUCAUCAAGAUAGAUUGUACAUUGAACCACAAAAAAUUCCAAUAAAUGUAAAGUAAUCAAAAUCAUACAGCAUUACUCUCUGACUACAAUGAAAUGAAAUUUAAAAAUAACAAUAAAAUUUAUCUGUACAUAAAUACUUAAAUAUUUGAUAAUUAAACUACACAGUUUUAAAUAACCCAUGAUUCAAUGAAUAAAUAACAUGGUAAUUUAGAAAAAAAUGUUGAGUUAAACUGAAAUGGAAUGAUAUUAUUUUUGAAUUAUAAUGAGAAUACACAUCAAAACUUGUAGAGUGCAGCUAAAAUGAUUCCUGGAAAGAAAUUUAUAGCUUUAAGCUAAUAUUUAAAAAAAAAAAAAAAAAAAAAGGAAACAUUUAAAAGUCAAUGAUCUAAGCUUCUAUUUUAAAAAGCUAAAAGAAAAAAAAAA